GUCUCCGUCUCUAAUUGACAUAAUCUUAUCGUUAUGUUACAGGUGCGUAUUAUUAACGAGAAUUGAAUUUUCCGCCACGUCCAGUAUUCCAACCGGAAGAGCACCGAUGAACGAUAAGUAAGGAUAACCGUAAAUCACUCGGAUCGAGGCCGUACGUCUCGUCCAGGCCAGGUUCGAUGCGUGCGGCGUUAUUCAAAUGUAAACCGGCCAAAUUACAAGCAAACUUGUAAACAGCCUCAUCAAAGUGAACCAUUUCGAUUGGACGACACUCUCCCAAAAGGUCCGGCCGCUUGGACGAGGACGGGAAGGACGAGAAGCCACGUAGCCACGGUGGUUCCCUCGCCCGAUCGGGGAAACGACGGAUCUCACUCGCGGAAAUCGGUGACGAUGAGCUAGCGACACGACGAUGAGGAGGAUGAAGCAGCGAGCGCUGCUCGCCUGGCCAUGGUUGUGGCU